GGUACAUGGGAUGUACCAUGUACCAAGUCGACUGAGCCACACCAGCAGGGCUGGAAAACAAUUUUUUAAGUAUUAGAAUCACGCACUAGAACUGAACAUACCAACAGUAUUAUGAUUUAACAUAAGUGAUAUUUUAAUAUCAGGUUUAUUAUAAGUAAAUAAUUUAGAUUGUUGGACAUUUGAGUCUUUAUAAUUUGACUCUUAUCUCCAAGGCACAAUUGCUGAACUUGAAGAAUAUUGCCCAUUUUUGCCAAGUUCCAAAAUAUAUAAUUUAAGUGAAAUCAUACCAGUUUUGUCAUUUUAUAGCCCGAACUAAUGGUAAUGUCUUUGUCAUCUCUUUGAGUAAAGAAACACUUAAAAGUUACAGAUGACAUUUUAAAAAAUGCAUAUAUAUGAAACUGUUUACUUUGCUGACUUAUCCAAAGAUACGUUCAAGACUUUUUGAAUCUGAAAACUAAAAUGAAACUUUGUUCCCUUAAGUCAAGAGCCCAAUCCUACCCAGGCCAUGCCUGCAUUACUCUCUGCUCCUUCUAGUUCUCUUACUUCCUUAGUCAUAACGUUCACUUACUUUGGAGGCAAAGUUACUCUGCCUCAUGUAUCAGUCACGCUGUAGGCUGUCCCCUCUUGUCUUAACUUUAUUAAUUUACAUUUGAACAGCAUUUGAUCUAUUGGGAAACAUGAGGACAGUGUUAAGGAACCUGCAUUAUAAAAAAGAGGUCUAAAUAUUGUGGUUCUUUAAUUAGUUAGCUUUAAGUGCCUUCCCAGGAAUCCUCCUGUAAAAUUUGCAGGAUUAUUUCCUGUGUAUGGGAUGAAAUACUCAAUGGUGCUUAUAUUGGAAACAACUUGCUUCUUAUAGAAUAGCAUUUAAAUGUAUUAAUACUACUUGAAGAAAGUAGAACCAGGUGUUGAUUCUCAACUGUGAGAGGAUAGAGAAGUUGUUGCGAGGAACAUAGUGUUAAUGUCCUGAAUUGGACAUUUAAAAAUGGUGUAUUGUGUGCUGACCUGUCUCUGUGUUACAAUGUUUGUCUUUCAUUGUCUAAUGAUUUCUUGUUUUUUUUUAAAUGCUGUCAGUAAAAUUCUUGAUGAAACAUUUUUGACA